AGUCGAACGGUAGCAGGCCUUCGGGCGCUGACGAGUGGCGGACGGGUGCGUAAUGCAUAGGAAUCUGCCUAUUAGUGGGGGAUAACGUGGGGAAACUCACGCUAAUACCGCAUAUGAUCUACGGAUGAAAGCUGGGGACCUUCGGGCCUGGCGCUAAUAGAUGAGCCUAUGUCGGAUUAGCUAGUUGGUAGGGUAAAGGCCUACCAAGGCGACGAUCCGUAGCUGGUCUGAGAGGAUGAUCAGCCACACUGGGACUGAGACACGGCCCAGACUCCUACGGGAGGCAGCAGUGGGGAAUAUUGGACAAUGGGCGCAAGCCUGAUCCAGCAAUACCGCGUGUGUGAAGAAGGCCUGAGGGUUGUAAAGCACUUUCAAUAGGAAGGAAUACCUACCGGCCAAUACCCGGUAGACUGACAUUACCUAUACAAGAAGCACCGGCUAACUCCGUGCCAGCAGCUGCGGUAAUACGGAGGGUGCAAGCGUUAAUCGGAAUUACUGGGCGUAAAGCGUGCGUAGGCGGUUAUUUAAGUCAGAUGUGAAAGCCCUGGGCUUAACCUGGGAACUGCAUUUGAUACUGGAUGACUAGAGUUGAGUAGAGGAGAGUGGAAUUUCAGGUGUAGCGGUGAAAUGCGUAGAGAUCUGAAGGAACACCAGUGGCGAAGGCGGCUCUCUGGACUCAAACUGACGCUGAGGUACGAAAGCGUGGGUAGCAAACAGGAUUAGAUACCCUGGUAGUCCACGCCGUAAACGAUGUCAACUAACCGUUGGGUUCUUAAAGAACUUAGUGGUGGAGCUAACGUAUUAAGUUGACCGCCUGGGGAGUACGGCCGCAAGGCUAAAACUCAAAUGAAUUGACGGGGGCCCGCACAAGCGGUGGAGCAUGUGGUUUAAUUCGAUGCAACGCGAAGAACCUUACCUACCCUUGACAUGUCGCGAUCUUUCAGAGAUGAGAGAGUGCCUUCGGGAACGCGACACAGGUGCUGCAUGCUGUCGUCAGCUCGUGUCGUGAAGAUGUUGGGUAGUCCCGUAACGAGCGCACCCUUAUCCU
rnacentral:rRNA from 1 species